UCAGACUCUAUAUUAAACUCUUCUGGGAGAGGGACAAUGUUUUGAUAAUCUUUAUAUUUCCAUAGUACAUAGCCCAGUGCCAUAAAGCAGAAACUACAAAAAUAUCAAAUUUAUGAGAAAGCUCCCUAAAGAGCUUCACUGUUUUUAAUUUUUUUAUUUUAAAUUUUUGCAGGUACAUAGUAGAUAUAUAUUUAUGGAUACAUGAGAUGUUUGGAUACAGGCAUGCAAUGCACAAUAAUCAUUUCAUGGAGAGUGGGGUAGCCAUCCCCUCAAGCAAUUAUCCUUUGUGUUACAAACAAUCCAAUUAUACUCUUUUAGUAGUUUUAAAAUGUACAAUUAUUAUCAACUAUAGUCACCCUGUUGGGCUAUCAAAUAGUAGGUCUUACUUUAUUCUUUCUAUUAUUUUUGUACCCAUUAAACAUCCCCACCUCUCCCAACCCCCACUACCCUACCCAGCCUCUGGUAACCGUCCUUCUACUCUCUAUGUCCAUGAAUUCAAUUGUUUGAUUUUUAGAUCCCAUAAAUAAGUGAGAAUAUCCAAUGUUUCUCUUUCUGUGCCUUUCUUAUUUUACUUAACAUAAUGAUCUCCAGUUCUAUCUAUGUUGUUGCAAAUGAUAGGGUCUCUUUCUUUUUUUAUGGCUAAAUAGUACUCCAUUGUGUGUAUGUACAUUUUCUUUAUCCAUUCACUGUUAUUUUAAAUUCUCCUUCUUUUAAAAUUUUCUUUGAGAUUGUCAGUUCUUUAAGUUUUUGAUCUUUUUAAGCAAUUAUCCCUUGUCCCUUUAGAAUUUCUGUUCAUUCAAUUAUUCCUAUCUCCAAUUUUUGUUUGAAAUCUUCUUUCUUAGUAUUUUAGGUGGCAUAUAUGUUACACUUUCUCCAGCAUGUUGCUUUACACCCCAGCUUGACAUAGAAUUAUGUCUUCCUGUUAUUUGUCAUUUCUGCUUCUUCCUUAUUUGUCAGAAUUCAGUACACUCAAAUAAUUCCCAUUGUGGCUUCAUUAAACCUUGGAGAGAUGAAAUUAUUAAUAAGAAAAUCUAGAUGUAUUAUAGUCUUUGCUCUUUGCAGAAUGCAGCUGUUAGCAGAUGGCUGAUUAAUUGAUAUACUCCAUCACUAUUAUUAUUUCACACUUUGUCCUUUUGCUUAAAAGAGAGCAGUCUGGAUUUUAUUACUUAUAAAGACUUCUUAAAGUUAGGGAAACAAAAAACAAAACUAGUCUCAUGAUAUAGUCUCAUGAUAUUGAAGUGAGUCUUGGUUUGUUUGUUUUUUCCCCACCUUAGGGGCAUAAUCAACCCAUUUCCUGCUUCAAAAGGAAUCAGAGCUUUUCCACUUCAGUGUAUUCACAUAGCUGAAGGGCAUACAAAAGCUGUGCUCUGUGUGGAUUCUACUGAUGAUCUCCUCUUCACUGGAUCAAAAGAUCGUACUUGUAAAGUAUGGAAUCUGGUGACUGGGCAGGAAAUAAUGUCACUGGGGGGUCAUCCCAACAAUGUCGUGUCUGUAAAAUACUGUAAUUAUACCAGUUUGGUCUUCACUGUAUCAACAUCUUAUAUUAAGGUGUGGGAUAUCAGAGAUUCAGCAAAGUGCAUUCGAACACUAACGUCUUCAGGUCAAGUUACUCUUGGAGAUGCUUGUUCUGCAAGUACCAGUCGAACAGUAGCUAUUCCUUCUGGAGAGAACCAGAUCAAUCAAAUUGCCCUAAACCCAACUGGCACCUUCCUCUAUGCUGCUUCUGGAAAUGCUGUCAGGAUGUGGGAUCUUAAAAGGUUUCAGUCUACAGGAAAGUUAACAGGACACCUAGGCCCUGUUAUGUGCCUUACUGUGGAUCGGAUUUCCAAUGGACAAGAUCUAAUCAUCACUGGCUCCAAGGAUCAUUACAUCAAAAUGUUUGAUGUUACAGAAGGAGCUCUUGGGACUGUGAGUCCCACCCACAAUUUUGAACCCCCUCAUUAUGAUGGCAUAGAAGCACUAACCAUUCAAGGGGAUAACCUAUUUAGUGGGUCUAGAGAUAAUGGAAUCAAGAAAUGGGACUUAACUCAAAAAGACCUUCUUCAGCAAGUUCCAAAUGCACAUAAGGAUUGGGUCUGUGCCCUGGGAGUGGUGCCAGACCACCCAGUUUUGCUCAGUGGCUGCAGAGGGGGCAUUUUGAAAGUCUGGAACAUGGAUACUUUUAUGCCAGUUGGAGAGAUGAAGGGUCAUGAUAGUCCUAUCAAUGCCAUAUGUGUUAAUUCCACCCACAUUUUUACUGCAGCUGAUGAUCGAACUGUGAGAAUUUGGAAGGCUCGCAAUUUGCAAGAUGGUCAGAUCUCUGACACAGGAGAUCUGGGGGAAGAUAUUGCCAGUAAUUAAACAUGAAUGAAGAUAAGUUGUAAACUGAAUGCUGUGAUAAUACUCUGUAUUCUUUAUGGAAAAUGUUGUCCUGCACUUAUUAGGCAAAACAUAUGAAUCAGAUUAACUGGAAAAUAUAUCUGAAUUCAACUGCUGACUAUAAAUGGUAUUCUAAUAAAAUUGUGUACUAUCCUGUGUGCUUAGUUUUAAGAUCAACCAAUAGAUAUAUAUCCUACAAUUGAUAUAUUGCUUUAUUCGCACUUUUAUUGUGGCUGAAUUUUUGUGGCUAUCUAUAAAACACACUUUCAAAUUAUUUGAAUUACCCAGACAUCUGCUUUUGUGACAGUCAGAAAACACACCUGGAAUACGAUGCAGCCCACCGUUAACUCAUUCAUAUAGUUUAUUCAAGUGAUUUAUGUAUUUAAACAUAUUGAAAAUGUUAGUCAAAUUGUGGUUUGCUUGUCAGGUAUUUAUAUCAGUCUGUAGUGGGUUCCCAAAUUUCAAAGCUCUUUUAAUGUAAUGGACAAAAAUAAGAUAUGAGAAUAUUAUUGAUGAAUUUUCAUAAGGUGGAAUUGAUCUUAAUCUACUAACAGAGAAGGGUAGACAGUUUGUGUUAAAUUUUGGCAUUUACUUGUAUUGACCAAAGUUUUGCAGCUCUACUAUAUUCUGUGCUCAGGACUAAAAUGCUGUUAAUUUUUUUUUUUCCAGUGCUGUGCAUAUAUUCUGUGAUGGGAAACAUUGUUGAUGUCCUAACAGAAAUAUAUUUUGAUCUGUUUUCCUAUGGAGUUGUUUCUAUUAUGACCAUUUAAUUUUGUUUUUAUUUAAUAGUAGUAUUUCCUUCCCUUUUAUCUAAUUUUUUAUAUGCUGCUAAAUAUAUUUUAAAUAUACUAUGUUUGCGAACCUUGGUAGCUAUGAUGAGAGCUAUUAUCAUCUGUGGUGGGAAAAGCUAUGUAAAUAGGUAGAUUGUAUAGAGAGACUAUCUUGUGUGGUACCUGUAUGAAUUUUUAAAAGUUGUUGACUGGAUUUUGCAAAAGGAUGUAUAAUAUUUCUGUCUGCUCAGAAUAUUAAUUUGUAAAUUCUGCAAGUUUAAUUUUUAUGUAGAUGGUAUAACAUUUGAAAAUAUUGUCUUAUGUGAUUUUUUUCCCCUGAAAAUAUUUGCUUGUAAAUGAAAACUUAGCUAGGGCUUAAAUAAACAUGUUGCUACAAAAUUA
rnacentral:sRNA from 1 species